ACACAGGUGGUCAGGUAGAGAAUACCAAGGCGCUUGAGAGAACUCGGGUGAAGGAACUAGGCAAAAUGGUGCCGUAACUUCGGGAGAAGGCACGCUGAUAUGUAGGUGAAGUCCCUCGCGGAUGGAGCUGAAAUCAGUCGAAGAUACCAGCUGGCUGCAACUGUUUAUUAAAAACACAGCACUGUGCAAACACGAAAGUGGACGUAUACGGUGUGACGCCUGCCCGGUGCCGGAAGGUUAAUUGAUGGGGUCAGCGCAAGCGAAGCUCUUGAUCGAAGCCCCGGUAAACGGCGGCCGUAACUAUAACGGUCCUAAGGUAGCGAAAUUCCUUGUCGGGUAAGUUCCGACCUGCACGAAUGGCGUAAUGAUGGCCAGGCUGUCUCCACCCGAGACUCAGUGAAAUUGAACUCGCUGUGAAGAUGCAGUGUACCCGCGGCAAGACGGAAAGACCCCGUGAACCUUUACUAUAGCUUGACACUGAACAUUGAGCCUUGAUGUGUAGGAUAGGUGGGAGGCUUAGAAGUGUGGACGCCAGUCUGCAUGGAGCCGACCUUGAAAUACCACCCUUUAAUGUUUGAUGUUCUAACGUUGACCCGUGAUCCGGGUUGCGGACAGUGUCUGGUGGGUAGUUUGACUGGGGCGGUCUCCUCCUAAAGAGUAACGGAGGAGCACGAAGGUUGGCUAAUCCUGGUCGGACAUCAGGAGGUUAGUGCAAUGGCAUAAGCCAGCUUGACUGCGAGCGUGACGGCGCGAGCAGGUGCGAAAGCAGGUCAUAGUGAUCCGGUGGUUCUGAAUGGAAGGGCCAUCGCUCAACGGAUAAAAGGUACUCCGGGGAUAACAGGCUGAUACCGCCCAAGAGUUCAUAUCGACGGCGGUGUUUGGCACCUCGAUGUCGGCUCAUCACAUCCUGGGGCUGAAGUAGGUCCCAAGGGUAUGGCUGUUCGCCAUUUAAAGUGGUACGCGAGCUGGGUUUAGAACGUCGUGAGACAGUUCGGUCCCUAUCUGCCGUGGGCGCUGGAGAACUGAGGGGGGCUGCUCCUAGUACGAGAGGACCGGAGUGGACGCAUCACUGGUGUUCGGGUUGUCAUGCCAAUGGCACUGCCCGGUAGCUAAAUGCGGAAGAGAUAAGUGCUGAAAGCAUCUAAGCACGAAACUUGCCCCGAGAUGAGUUCUCCCUGACCCUUUAAGGGUCCUGAAGGAACGUUGAAGACGACGACGUUGAUAGGCCGGGUGUGUAAGCGCAGCGAUGCGUUGAGCUAACCGGUACUAAUGAACCGUGAGGCUUAACCUU
rnacentral:rRNA from 1 species